GUUAGGGUUAGGGUUAGGGUAAGGGUUGGGGUUAGGGUUAGGUUUAGGGUUAGGUUUAGGGUUAGGGUUAGGGUUAGGGUUAGGGUUAGGUUAGGGUUAGGGUUAGGGUUAGGGUUAGGGUUAGGGUUAGGGUUAGGGUUAGGGUUAGGGUUAGGGUUAGGGUUAGGG